UACGUAGGGAGCAAGCGUUGUCCGGAAUCAUUGGGCGUAAAGCGCGCGUAGGCGGCCCCGUAAGUCCGCUGUGAAAGUCAAAGGCUCAACCUUUGAAAGCCGGUGGAUACUGUGGGGCUAGAGUCCGGGAGAGGCGAGUGGAAUUCCUGGUGUAGCGGUGGAAUGCGCAGAUAUCAGGAGGAACACCAAUAGCGAAGGCAGCUCGCUGGGACGGUACUGACGCUAAGGCGCGAAAGCGUGGGGAGCGAACAGG
rnacentral:rRNA from 1 species